UACAUGUGGCUUGAUGAAUGUUGCUCGUAACGCUGCAUUUGGGAAGGAAGUCGCAAAGAUGGUUCUUGCAAGUCUUGGUGAUGAAUGGCCAUUGGUAUUCAAAUGAAGAAAUAGAGGAUGAGAUGAAGUCUUAAAUUGCAAAUAGUCGCAUUGCUAAUCGUCAAUAUGUUUCAUCACACUUAAAAAUAAUUCUCUUUCCUAACGACCAGUCUCAUAAUGGCGCUCUCAUGCCAGGAAGUCGGAAACAAGGCAAAGUCAGAUAUUCAAGCAUUUGUGUGGUCUAACUACAAACCAUGGAUCCCUAGGCCAAUGAUAAGCAUGCAUGUAACAAUGGCAGACAAGGCAUGUGAAAUGGAGUUGGUUGAAUUUGAAGAGUACAUGCAGCAUGGUGAUCGGAUCAAACAACGUUUUCCACAUCUUAAUAGCAUUUGGCUAUCAACUGAA
rnacentral:misc_RNA from 1 species